rnacentral:rRNA from 1 species
AUUGAACGCUGGCGGCAGGCCUAACACAUGCAAGUCGAACGAGUGGCGGACGUGUGAAAAAUGUAGGGGAACCUGCCUGAUGGGGGGGGAUAACUACUGGAAACGGUAGCUAAUACCGCAUACCAUCAGAUGUGCCCAGAUGGGAUUAGCUUGUAGGUGGGGUAAAGGCUCACAUAGGCCACGAUCCCUAGCUGGUCUGAGAGGAUGACCGGCCACACUGGAACUGGGACACGGUCCGAACUCCUAGGGGAGGCAGCAGUGGGGAAUAUUGGAAAAUGGGCGAAAGCCGGACCCAGCCAUGCCGCGUGUGUGAAGAAGGUCUUCGGAUUGUAAAGCACUUUAAGUUGGGAGGCGUUACCUACAGAAUAAGCACCGGCUAACUUCGUGCCAGCAGCCGCGGUAAUAC